rnacentral:rRNA from 1 species
UACGUAGGAUCCGAGCGUUGUCCGGAUUUAUUGGGCGUAAAGAGCUCGUAGGCGGUUCCGUAAGUCAGAUGUGAAAACUCAGGGCUCAACCCGGAGACGCCAUCUGAUACUGCGGUGACUGGAGUCUGGUAGGGGAACACGGAAUUCCUGGUGUAGCGGUGAAAUGCGCAGAUAUCAGGAGGAACACCGAUGGCGAAGGCAGUGUUCUGGGCCAGUACUGACGCUGAGGAGCGAAAGCGUGGGGAGCAAACAGG